UACAGAGGUCCCAAGCGUUGUUCGGAUUCACUGGGCGUAAAGGGUGCGUAGGUGGUGAGGUAAGUCGGAUGUGAAAUCUCCGGGCUCAACCCGGAAAUGGCAUUGGAAACUACCUUGCUUGAGGAUUUGAGGGGGGAUUGGAAUACUUGGUGUAGCAGUGAAAUGCGUAGAUAUCAAGUGGAACACCAGUGGCGAAGGCGAGUCCCUGGAAAAUACCUGACACUGAGGCACGAAAGCUAGGGGAGCAAACAGG
rnacentral:rRNA from 1 species